rnacentral:tRNA from 1 species
GCCUUCGUGGUGUAGAGGUCAGAACGCUCGACGUAUAUUCGAGAGGUCCGUGGUUCGAUUCCCGGCGAAGGCG